AGCCUCAUUCCAUAUGAGAGUGGCCACAGUUGUUCAUGGCAUCUGGAAUUGCUAAUGUGGCUAAAUUGAGCCACAAGUUAUGCCUCCAUUAUGGUAAAUUUAGUGCAGUGUUGACAAUGAGACCUGUAACUUUU
rnacentral:snoRNA from 1 species